ensembl:lncRNA
CAAAAAAAUAAAAUAUAGAAUUAAAAAAAACUUGACAAAUGUAAUGCAGAGCAAAGAUAAUGUUUGAAGUCCCAGUACGAUGUGGAAAGGAAUUUAAUUUCUUUGUUACUGGCAAACCGGUUAGCCCUGUCUUCACUGCAAAUUACUGUCAAACAGACAACCAUGAAACAUUUCCUCAUACUACAACAUGUCCCAGCCUACUAUGACUUUCUUUUGUGCAGAGACGUUCUCACAUUUAUCAUGCCGCUCUCUGCGCUGGUGUUGAUGCUGCUGGUCUGCAGUGUUCAGGCUAAUUUUUACAGUAUAGUGGUGAACUACUAUCCACGUGGCAAUGUUUCAACAGGAUCUUCCACUGGCAUCCUUUAUUACAAGUUGGGCUACAGCUCCUGCUUGUAUAGUUUGCCCUACUCCAUCGGUGGUCAGACACUUGUUUUAGACAAGGUCGACGAGGAGAGUAUAGGAGAAUGGUGCCAAACUGAAGGAGUCAUCUCUCGGCUUUUUUCCAGCAACUCUAUAUUUUCAAUUCCGGUCUCUGGCAUAGACUGGAUCUUUGGCAUCAAAAAUGGCAUCGUAUCAUUUAAAAUUCAGGCUCUGGUGGAACUGAGGAUCCGCUCUGACAUCGGCAAAGCCAACACAUCACCACAGACCACUAUCAUACCAGCUAUCAGAGUUCCGUCAAACUGUCCAAGAAAUUUGAGCCUGUUGAUGUUUGAUCCUGAUGGAGACAUAGUGAAAUGCAGAAAUGGAGAUGCAUCACUCUCAGAGUGUAGUCCCUGCACACCACCGUCUGUCCUCAGCCUUUCACCAUCCUCUUGUACUCUGUCAUUCAGCCCCACAAACAGCAGUGAUGAAGGUCCGUAUGCGGUACAGCUGAUGAUAGAGGACUUUCCCAGACAGAACAUAACGUUGACUCAAACCAACGGGACACAAACAAUAAUAACAACCAACGACGCUAUCAGCAAAAUGCCAGUUCAGUUUGUCGUGAGAGUGGAUCCUGCAGUGCCAUCGUGCACAGAGGGACUCUUUCUACCCAUGUUCCUGCCUCCAACCCCAGCCCACAGAACCCAGCUCUACACCUACGUCAAUCAGACUCUGGCUAUCAGCAUCAAGGCACAGACACUUAACUCCACGAUCUCUGAGCUGCUGUUCAGCGCGCCGCACACAGUAACUCAAAAUCAAACAGGCCCAGGACAGUUCACACUGACGUGGACACCAUCUGAUUCAGUAGCUGAACAAAGCCACCCCAUUUGUUUUGUUGUCCAGGCAGUUUUAGGUGCAGCCAAGUACCACUCUGAGCUUCGAUGUGUCAUUGUGACCGUUAGAAAAGCAUUGCCAACUCCAUCACCCAAUACACCAGAGUAUGUUGCAGCGCUGAAAAUGAAGUUUUCCUCGUCGAUGGAUUUAUCUAAAAUCAAUACCAAUGUCUUCCUAAAUCAGAUUAAACAGAAACUGCAGUCAUACGGACUACCUGAUGACAUCAGUCUGCGCCUCAUAAGCAGUGUGCCACAGAUUGGUGUAACUGUGUCCUCUAAUUCUACAACAUGAACCUGAAGUCCUGCGUCUGCAUGCUCUUUCUUCACUGUGUAUUUACUAGUUCAAGACUUUUAUGUGGAAAGAUAAUAAAAAAUAUUACUUAUAACAGAUAUUUUUGCACUAAACAGGUCUGUCAUAUAACAUUCUUUAUAAUAUUAAAUUUUUAAAGGGAUCUUUCAAGGUUGAAAUUUAUGUUUACUAUUGAUUAAUCCUUCUUUGUUCUUUCUUCCAAUAUCCUUGUCUGGUGGGCUGUGUUCUGUAUGCAAGUGGUCGUGGAGGAUUUUUUUAAUCAUAUUUUUUACAUGAGUGUAAGGUUUGUAAACUGGUUUUGGGUGAAUCAGUUUCUUAUACAGUCGUGUUUAUUUGUUUGGCUUUAGAAAGCUGUUCUUCGAAGUCAUAGCAGCCAGUGGCUGGAAUGAAAAAACAAACAAAAAAACAAUCUCAGUCACAUUUCUGACUUCAAAUUAUUUUUCCUACAAAUUAAAUCAAAC